UCACCCCUCAAGCCCCCGGCUUGGUGUUGGACGGUUUGGUUUAGGUACCCCUAGAUCCCUCCUAAAGACAAUGACGGCGGCUGUUGAACCCCCGGUACACUGAGCUUCUUAACUGAGCACGUAUCGGAUCUAGGGUUUGGCGGCACCCGGUCUCUACCUUUUUUGCUUACAA
rnacentral:misc_RNA from 1 species